UAGCGAUGAUGAUAUUCCACUUCUGGUCCGUGUUUCUGAACUCACUGAUUAUGUUGGAAGUCCUGAGCUU